CAGGGACAGAGAGAGGUUGAGGAGCUGUAGAGUUACUAACCAGGGACAGAGAGAGGUUGAGGAGCUGUAGAGUGACUAACCAGGGACAGAGAGAGGUUGAGGAGCUGUAGAGUGACUAACCAGGGACAGAGAGAGGUUGAGGAGCUGUAGAGUGACUAACCAGGGACAGAGAGAGGUUGAGGAGCUGUAGAGUGACUAACCAGGGACAGAGAGAGGUUGAGGAGCUGUAGAGUGACUAACCAGGGACAGAGAGAGGUUGAGGAGGAGCUGUAGAGUGACUAACCAGGGACAGAGAGAGGUUGAGGAGGAGCUGUAGAGUUACUAACCAGGGACAGAGAGAGGUUGAGGAGCUGUAGAGUUACUAACCAGGGACAGAGAGAG